rnacentral:rRNA from 1 species
GUACACUCCUGCGGGAGGCAGCAGUGGGGAAUUUUGGACAAUGGGCGAAAGCCUGAUCCAGCAAUGCCGCGUGAGUGAAGAAGGCCUUCGGGUUGUAAAGCUCUUUUGUCAGGGAAGAAACGGUGAGAGCUAAUAUCUCUUGCUAAUGACGGUACCUGAAGAAUAAGCACCGGCUAACUACGUGCCAGCAGCCGCGGUAAUACGUAGGGUGCAAGCGUUAAUCGGAAUUACUGGGCGUAAAGCGUGCGCAGGCGGUUUUGUAAGUCUGAUGUGAAAUCCCCGGGCUCAACCUGGGAAUUGCAUUGGAGGCUGCAAGGCUAGAAUCUGGCAGAGGGGGGUAGAAUUCCACGUGUAGCAGUGAAAUGCGUAGAUAUGUGGAGGAACACCGAUGGCGAAGGCAGCCCCCUGGGUCAAGAUUGACGCUCAUGCACGAAAGCGUGGGGAGCAAACAGGAUUAGAAACCCUGGUAGUCCC